rnacentral:rRNA from 1 species
UACGUAGGGUGCAAGCGUUAAUCGGAAUUACUGGGCGUAAAGCGUGCGCAGGCGGUUACCUAAGCCAGGCGUGAAAUCCCCGGGCUUAACCUGGGAAUUGCGCUUGGGACUGGGUGGCUAGAGUGCGGCAGAGGGAGGUGGAAUUCCACGUGUAGCAGUGAAAUGCGUAGAGAUGUGGAGGAACACCGAUGGCGAAGGCAGCCUCCUGGGCCAGCACUGACGCUCAUGCACGAAAGCGUGGGGAGCAAAC